UCUCCACUGUCCUCGCAAUCCUUUGUAGGAUCUUGUUUCAGAUGCCUUGCAGUUCCUGAACCAGACUGCAAUGAAGCUAUGAACAUGGAAGGAUAUGGAGGCUAUGAAGAGGAUGAAAAUUGUACAGACACAACAAAUUGCCAACAAGAACAGAACUGAAUGUCAGUGAACAUUACCAGCUGCACCAGCAGUUAUGAGAUGACAGAACCUGGAGGAAGGGAGAAUGACAACAAGAGAAAAGAGUGAACCAAUACGGAG